rnacentral:rRNA from 1 species
UUUAAGAUGAGAGUUUGAUCCUGGCUCAGAACGAACGCUGGCGGCAUGCUUAACACAUGCAAGUCGAACGGAAGACAACGGAUUUAUUCGUUGUUCUUGAGUGGCGAACGGGUGAGUAACGCGUAGGAAUCUACCCUUGAGUAGGGGAUAACGGCUAGAAAUGGUCGCUAAUACCAUAUAAUCCUGCUAGGUGGCACUAGUAGGCAAAGGCUUCGGCCGCUGAAGGAUGAGCCUGCGUCAGAU